rnacentral:rRNA from 1 species
GAUGAACGCUGGCGGCGUGCCUAACACAUGCAAGUCGAACGAACCUGAUCUUCGGAAAGGGUUAGUGGCGGAUGGGUGAGUAACACGUAGGUGACCUACCUUGGCGGAGGGGGAUAACUGCUGGAAACGGUAGCUAAUACCCCGUACGAUCACCGGAUCGGACUGGUGAUGAAAGGCGAAAGCCGUGCUGGGAGGGGCCUGCGGCCCAUCAGGUAGUUGGUGGGGUAACGGCCUACCAAGCCGAUGACGGGUAGCUGGUCUGAGAGGAUGGUCAGCCACACUGGAACUGAAACACGGUCCAGACUCCUACGGGAGGCAGCAGUGAGGAAUAUUGCGCAAUGGGCGAAAGCCUGACGCAGCAACGCCGCGUGGGUGAAGAAGGCCUUCGGGUCGUAAAGCCCUUUUCUGAGGGAAGAGGAAGGACGGUACCUCAGGAAUAAGUCUCGGCUAACUACGUG